AGUGAACGCUGGCGGUAGGCCUAACACAUGCAAGUCGAACGGCAGCACAGUAAGAGCUUGCUCUUACGGGUGGCGAGUGGCGGACGGGUGAGGAAUACAUCGGAAUCUACUUUUUCGUGGGGGAUAACGUAGGGAAACUUACGCUAAUACCGCCUACGACCUACGGGUGAAAGCAGGGGAUCUUCGGACCUUGCGCGAUUGAAUGAGCCGAUGUCGGAUUAGCUAGUUGGCGGGGUAAAGGCCCACCAAGGCGACGAUCCGUAGCUGGUCUGAGAGGAUGAGCAGCCACACUGGAACUGAGACACGGUCCAGACUCCUACGGGAGGCAGCAGUGGGGAAUAUUGGACAAUGGGCGCAAGCCUGAUCCAGCCAUACCGCGUGGGUGAAGAAGGCCUUCGGGUUGUAAAGCCCUUUUGUUGGGAAAGAAAAGCAGCAGGUUAAUACCCCGCUGUUCUGACGGUACCCAAAGAAUAAGCACCGGCUAACUUCGUG
rnacentral:rRNA from 1 species